rnacentral:rRNA from 1 species
GAUGAACGCUGACGGCGUGCUUAACACAUGCAAGUCGACUGGAACUGCGGUUUGGGUGUCGGACGGUCGAGUAACGCGUAGGGGAGUUGCCCCACAGUAAGGUACACCAUAUGUAAGCGAAUGCUAAUAACUGAUGGUAUGAUAUUAGAGAAGCCUAGAAUCAUGAAAGCUAUAGGCGCUGAGAGAGGGCUUUGCGUGCCAUUAGCUCGUUGGAGCGGUAACGGCUCACCAAGGUGAUGAUGGGUAGCCGUCAGGGGAGGGUGAACGGCAACAAGGGGACUGAGACACGGCCCUUACUCCUACGGGAGGCAGAAGGGGGGAAUAUGGGACAAUGGACCAAGCGUGUGAUCCAGCAAUUGUGUGUGGACGAUGAAGUUUUUCGGAAUGUAAAGUGUUUUCAGUUGGGAAGAAAAAAAUGACGAUACCAACAGAAGAAGCGACGGCUAACUACGUG